rnacentral:lncRNA from 1 species
CUUAAACAUUCCAUAUUUACACAUUUUUAAUGGAUUUUCUUUUUCUUUUGGUACAAUAAUGAGAUCAGUCUUGAAAUGAAAGAAAAUCUAGAACCUAAUCAAUAUGUAAUAAAAUCUUGUCUUUCAGAGUUAUUUCUUUAAGGGAGAAAUUAUCUAAUCUGAAACAUCAAGUUGAAAUGUUGAUGCAAAGUUCGGAAACCUUAUCUUCAGCUUCAGAACCUACAAGUUUUCUUGAACACAGUGAAAACCUGAAAAUAAUUCCUUCAGAGAAAGCUGAAAUUAAUAUUGCAAAAGUGCAUCUUGAUGAAAAAACAGAAGAAAUGGCUAAAAGGUGUUUAUCUGAAGUCAAAGCUCUGCUCUCUGUUCCAGACCUGUCCUCACCAUUGACUGAGGUAUGCUAUUCUCAUCAAUAGUAAAAAUGUGUUUUCUAAAAUAAAACAAUUGUUCAGUUAGGCUGAAACAUGGAUUUUACUACUAAGUAUCUUGUACCUUUCAAUCUUUUUCUCAUACAUUUCUGGGCUUUUUUAAUUUUUAUUUUUUUUUUUAAUACAAAUGUUCAUGAUUACCAGCUGUGGAUAUCUUCAUUGUUAGAAUCACCUUUUUAUACAAAUAAAUAUGUAUAAAAAAUAAAUCUCACUCACAAUGGAUUUAUCUGGUCUAUCCACCAUUCUCUGAUCUUUGUUUAGAUGGAAUUUACUGUUCCAUUGUAUUUCCACGAUGCAGUUGCCAAAUGCAAUUUUCUUCCAUGCCUGUUAUUUUUGCAGUUAUUCAGGAUUUCCUUCUAUUUUCUUUAGCUUUCUCUGCCUCACAGAUAGUAUGCCAUUUUUUUUUUUGUCCAUGCUGUUGUAUUCCUAUUGGUAUUUAUUUGUAGUCAGUAUCCCAGAGGAGACUAUGGGAACUGGCCCAUAGCAGGCAGCAAUAUUACUCAGUGUUCUCAGGCAUGCUAGCAGGAUCAGGAGCAGUGCUGCCAGGGCUUAAGGAACUCCAAGGAAGAGCUUUGAAUCCAUAACAUAUGACUCCCCC